rnacentral:rRNA from 1 species
GCAACGGCCGGGCCAGGUGCGGGGGUAAUACGGAGGGGUCAAGCGUUAUCCGGAUUUACUGGGUUUAAAUGGUCCGUAGGUGGUUUGAUAAGUCAGUGGGUAAAUUACCGAGCUUAACGUGGGAGCUGCCAUUGAUACUGUUAGACUUGAGUGCAGAUGAGGUUGGCGGAAUGGGGCAUGUAGCGGUGAAAUGCUUAGAUAUGCCUCGGAACACCGAAUGCGAAGGCAGCUGGCUAAACUGCAACUGACACUAAUGGACGAAAGCGUGGGUAGCGAACAGGAUUAGAUACCCUAGUAGUC